rnacentral:rRNA from 1 species
UACGUAGGGUGCAAGCGUUGUCCGGAAUUAUUGGGCGUAAAGAGCUCGUAGGCGGUUUGUCGCGUCUGCUGUGAAAACUGGGGGCUCAACCCCCAGCCUGCAGUGGGUACGGGCAGACUAGAGUGCGGUAGGGGAGAUUGGAAUUCCUGGUGUAGCGGUGGAAUGCGCAGAUAUCAGGAGGAACACCGAUGGCGAAGGCAGAUCUCUGGGCCGUAACUGACGCUGAGGAGCGAAAGCAUGGGGAGCGAACAG